rnacentral:rRNA from 1 species
UACAGAGGUCCCAAGCGUUGUUCGGAUUCACUGGGCGUAAAGGGUGCGUAGGUGGCAAGGUAAGUUUGAUGUGAAAUCUCCGGGCUUAACCCGGAAAAUGCAUUGAAUACUCUCUUGAUAGAGGAUUGGAGGGGGGACUGGAAUUCUCGGUGUAGCAGUGAAAUGCGUAGAUAUCGAGAGGAACACCAGUGGCGAAGGCGAGUCCCUGGACAACACCUGACACUGAGGCACGAAAGCUAGGGGAGCAAACAGG